GGGCCUGUAGCUCAGACGGUCAGAGCAGUCGACUCAUAAUCGAUUGGUCGCUGGUUCAAAUCCAGCCAGGCCCACCA
rnacentral:tRNA from 1 species